CCUAACUUUUCUUCUAGAUCCACCCUUCUCUUUUAUUUUCCCAUCUUUCUCUCUGCUUUCCUUUUCCUUAAUCUUUGGUUUUUUAUUUUUAUUUCGUCGUUUAAUUUCAUCUGAUUUUGGAUUUUCUUACCGUUUUCAAACGUGAAAAGCAAAUGGCUGCAGGCAGGGUGGCUCAUGUCACACUACAAGGACCGAGUGUUGUCAAGGAGAUAUUGACAGGAAUGGGACUUGCUUUGUUUGCUGGUAGCUUUUGGAAAAUGCAUCAGUGGAAUGAGCAGAGGAAAGUGAGAGCUUUCUACGAUUUACUGGAGAAGGGUGAGAUCAGUGUCGUUGUUGAUGAAGAAUAGAUCUUACACUCUUAUCAUGAUAUUAUGGAACACAUUCACCAGCUUGUGUUUAUCAUUUUAAUUUUUUUGAAAACCUCUUUGUAUUGCUCUUGGAACAGAGAUGACAUGUUUACGUUUUGCAACAAAUUCUGCAAAUAAGAGAUGCGUGAGACAGAUUUUGGUGGAUUAAUAAACCUUAUUUCAUGAUUUGUUAUU